rnacentral:rRNA from 1 species
UACGUAGGUGGCAAGCGUUGUCCGGAAUUAUUGGGCGUAAAGAGCUUGUAGGCGGUCUGUCGCGUCUGCUGUGAAAAUCCGGGGCUCAACCCCGGACUUGCAGUGGGUACGGGCAGACUAGAGUGUGGUAGGGGAGACUGGAAUUCCUGGUGUAGCGGUGAAAUGCGCAGAUAUCAGGAGGAACACCGAUGGCGAAGGCAGGCCUCUGGGCCACUACUGACGCUGAGAAGCGAAAGCAUGGGGAGCGAACAGG